CUGCGAAUGGCUCAUUAAAUCAGUUAUUGUUUAUUUGAUAGUACCUUACUACUUGGAUAACCGUGGUAAUUCUAGAGCUAAUACAUGCUAAAAACCCCGACUUCGGGAGGGGUGUAUUUAUUAGAUUAAAAACCAAUGCCCUUCGGGGCUUCUUGGUGAUUCAUGAUAACUUCUCGGAUCGCACGGCCUUGCGCCGGCGACGGUUCAUUCAAAUUUCUGCCCUAUCAACUUUCGACGGCUGGGUAUUGGCCAGCCGUGGUGACAACGGGUAACGGAGGGUUAGGGCUCGACCCCGGAGAAAACGCCUGAGAAACGGCGUUUACAUCCAAGGAAGGCAGCAGGCGCGCAAAUUACCCAAUGCCGACUCGGCGAGGUAGUGACGAUAAAUACUGGUACGGGGCUCUUUCGGGUCUCGUAACUGGAAUGAGUACAAUUUAAAUCCCUUAACGAGGAACAAUUGGAGGGCAAGUCUGGUGCCAGCAGCCGCGGUAAUUCCAGCUCCAAUAGCGUAUAUUAAAAUUGUUGAGAUUAAAAAGCUCGUAGUUGAACCUUGGGCCUGGCUGGCCGGUCCGCCUCACCGCGUGCACUGGUCCGGCCGGGCCUUUCCCUCCGGGGAACCCCAUGCCCUUCACUGGGCGUGGCGGGGAACCGGGACUUUUACUUUGAAAAAAUUAGAGUGUUCAAAGCAGGCCUAUGCUCGGAUACAUUAGCAUGGAAUAAUAGAAUAGGACGUGUGGUUCUAUUUUGUUGGUUUCUAGGACCGCCGUAAUGAUUAAUAGGGACAGUCGGGGGCGUCAGUAUUCAAUUGUCAGAGGUGAAAUUCUUGGAUUUAUUGAAGACUAACUACUGCGAAGGCAUUCGUCAAGGAUGUUUUCAUUAAUCAGGAACGAAAGUUAGGGGAUCGAAGACGAUCAGAUACCGUCGUAGUCUUAACCGUAAACUAUUAAGUCUAGGGAUCGGACGGUGGUUCUAUUUGCCCCGUCCGGCACCUUACACGAAAGUAUAAG
rnacentral:rRNA from 1 species